UCAGUAAGUUACUGAUGCUUUGUGUCCUCAACAGCUCUUAGCACUAACUGAGAAAAUGCUCAUGGAAAUGCUUUGGAAAAGUGAGAGACUGCAUGAUAGGAUUUCAGCUACAUCUUAAGGCAUGGGACUUUCAGGAGGCUGCUUAAAGGUGGCCACCUGACUUCAGAGUUCAUCAUUCAAUCCCUUCUGCCUCUGGGACUCUACCAAGAUUGUGUUUGUCCUAGCAGCAGUCUGACAGGCCUGAUGUCUUAUACAGUUUCCACUUGAGAAACUGGGACUCCAAACAGCAAAACAAUGGGACCCGAGCUUAACUUUUGGUUUUGACUGAAGUGGAAUCCAGAAAUA
rnacentral:lncRNA from 1 species